UAAUUUAGUAUAUACUACAUGAAAGUACUUACAGACUGACUCAUGUGUUUCAGACUCUGUAAAUCAAACCUUGGAUGGCCUUGUGGAAGCUGCAGGAUCUCGGUGCAGGGAAAUGUCCAACUUGUCUGGCCUGAUGGAGCGUGCCAAUGCGGGAAGGGAAACGUCGACACCCAGCUCUCAAAAUGCAAGCACAGCCCCUCUGCGAAGAGACCUUUCGAGACCCAGUGAGUAUUCAUCUCAUCACACUUUAAACAGUCACUUUUUUUUAUUUUUUCAGGCCUUGUGAAAUGUAAGAACAUUCUUUGUGUUUUUCAGGAUCUGGACAUGUA